rnacentral:rRNA from 1 species
CCUACGGGCGGCUGCAGUGGGGAAUAUUGCACAAUGGGGGAAACCCUGAUGCAGCGACGCCGCGUGAAGGAAGAAGUUUUUCGGUAUGUAAACUUCUAUCAGCAGGGAAGAAAAUGACGGUACCUGACUAAGAAGCCCCGGAUAACUACGUGCCAACAGCCGCGGUAAUACGUCGGGGGCAAGCGUUAUCCGGAUUAACUGGGUGGAAAGGGAGCGUAGGCGGUUUAGCAAGUCAGAAGUGAAAGCCCGGGGCUCAACGCCGGGACUGCUUUUGAAACUGUUGAACGAGAGUGCAGGAGAGGUAAGUGGAAUUCCUAGUGUAGCGGUGAAAUGCGUAGAUAUUAGGAGGAACACCAGUGGCGAAGGCGGCUUACUGGACUGUAACUGACGCUGAGGUUCGAAAGCGUGGGGAGCAAACAGGAUUAGAUACCCCGGUAGUC